CCACCUGAUCCCUUCCCGAACUCAGAAGUGAAACCUCUUUGCGCUGAUGGUAGUGUGGGGUUACCCAUGUGAGAGUAAGUCAUCGCCAGCU
rnacentral:rRNA from 3 species